CAAUAGCGUAUAUUAAAGUUGUUGCAGUUAAAAAGCUCGUAGUUGAACUUCUGGCGGGCGCGCCGGUCUUCCAAGUGUUGUACUGGGCGCAGUCCGCCAUCCUUGUGGAGAGGGCUCGCAUUGAGUUGCGUGUCGGAUCUGCAUCAUUUACUGUGAAAAAAUUAGAGUGUUUAAAGCAGGCUGUCGCUUGAAUACAUUAGCAUGGAAUAAUAAGAUAGGACUUCGGUCUAUUUUGUUGGUUGCGAACCGAGGUAAUGAUUAAUAGGGAUAGUUGGGGGUAUUCAUAUUUAAUUGUCAGAGGUGAAAUUCUUGGAUUUAUGAAAGAUGAACAACUGCGAAAGCAUUUACCAAGGAUGUUUNCAUUAA
rnacentral:rRNA from 1 species